GGAGCAGUAGCUCAGAUGGUAGAGCAACAAUAACUUUCCGCUAUUGGCACAAAAAGUUCCUAUACCGUGUGUCGCAGGUUCGAUUCCUGUCUGCUCCA
rnacentral:tRNA from 1 species